rnacentral:rRNA from 1 species
AACGAACGCUGGCGGCAGGCUUAACACAUGCAAGUCGAACGCCCCGCAAGGGGAGUGGCCGACGGGUGAGUAACGCGUGGGAACAUACCCUUUCCUGCGGAAUAGCUCCGGGAAACUGGAAUUAAUACCGCAUACGCCCUACGGGGGAAAGAUUUAUCGGGGAAGGAUUGGCCCGCGUUGGAUUAGCUAGUUGGUGGGGUAAAGGCCUACCAAGGCGACGAUCCAUAGCUGGUCUGAGAGGAUGAUCAGCCACGUUGGGACUGAGACACGGCCCAAACUCCUACGGGAGGCAGCAGUGGGGAAUAUUGGACAAUGGGCGCAAGCCUGAUCCAGCCAUGCCGCGUGAGUGAUGAAGGCCUUAGGGUUGUAAAGCUCUUUCACCGAUGAAGAUAAUGACGGUAGUCGGAGAAGAAGCCCCGGCUAACUUCGUG